GGAUUGCGCCAUCCAGGCAAUGUGGAUAUUCUGCCACGUACUUGAUAAACCGAGGAUUCUUCGUCAACAUGCAAGAUGUUACUCCCUGUAAACUACUGUUGGCAGAAAAGCUGAUACAUUGGGAAAACGGUUAUGGCAAGUGCGAUGAAUAAAUCACCACAGGUCAGUUGUCUUGUCUGCACAAUUGCAACGAAGAUGAAUCAUGGAGUCAAAAACAUUAAAAGCUCAUUAAUCAUGUCCCAAACGAUUGUCUGCGUCAGCCAGCAAUCUUUCAAUGGCUAACAAGCAUUUAAUAGUUUUGAAAAUCGUGGUUUGCACUCCCUAAGACGACAUUCCUUAAUCCUCACCAGUCAAUAGAUUUGAGUGCAACCAUUUCUAUUCUGAACUGUCGCCUACGAAAUUCUUUUUCCAUAAAGUCAGGUGAUAUGUUAUAAUGGAAAUUGUUGUCAAGACUGCCGA